CGUCCGGGAGUGCGAGUCCGCUGGGGCCUGAGCUGCUGGAACUGAGCCUCUAGCCCUUUCGCGGGACUGCGCGGAGGAGGGCACCCUUUGGACCCGGGCGUUCGGCCUCCGGUGAGCCAUGGAUUCGCAGGGGCUGAAGACACUGAUUAAUUACUAUUGUCAAGAGAAAUAUUUCCAUCAUGUGUUACUUGUUGCCAGUGAAGGAAUGAAGAGAUAUGGCAGUGACCCAGUCUUCAGGUUUUAUCAUGCCUAUGGUACAUUAAUGGAAGGUAAAACACAAGAAGCUCUUCGGGAAUUUGAGGCUCUUAAGAAUAAGCAAGAUGUAUCACUUUGUUCUCUAAUUGCACUGAUAUACGCCCAUAAAAUGAGUCCUAAUCCAGAUAAAGAAGCUAUCCUGGAAUCAGAUGCCAGAGUGAAGGAGCAACGUAAAGAAGCUGGACAGAAAGCUUUGUACCAUGCAGGCUUGUUUUUAUGGCAUCUUGGUCGCCAUGAUAAGGCCAAAGAAUACAUUGACAGAAUGAUCAAAAUUUCAGAUGGCAGUAAUGAGGGUCAUGUUUUGAAAGCAUGGCUUGAUAUUACAAGAGGAAAAGAACCUUAUGCAAAAAAAGCACUAAGGCAUUUUGAAGAGGGAUUACAAGAUGGAAAUGAUAUUUUUGCUCUUCUGGGUAAGGCACAGUGCCUUGAGCUGCGUCAAAAUUAUUCAGGUGCUCUGGAGAUUGUGAACCAGAUAAUUGUGAACUUUCCAAGCUUUGUUCCUGCUUUUGUGAAGAAAAUGAAAUUACAACUAGCCCUGCAGGAUUGGGACCAGACAGUUGAGACAGCACAAAGGUUGCUGCUUCAAGAUAAUCAAAAUGUGGAAGCACUAAGAAUGCUGGCUCUUUACCAUCUGUGUAGAGAGGGAGAUAUAGAGAAAGCUUCCAUGAAACUGGAAAACUUAGGGAAAGCAUUGGAUGCCAUGGAACCACAGAAUGCUCAACUUUUUUAUAAGAUGACAAUAGCCUUCAGCAGAACCUGUGGUCGCAGUCAACUUAUACUUCAAAAAACUCAAACACUACUAGAAAAAUCUUUUAGUUUAUCUCCUGAGCAAUCAGAAUUUGCUACAGAACUUGGAUACCAAAUGAUUUUACAAGGAAAAGUUAAAGAGGCAUUGAAGUGGUAUAAGACUGCCAUGACACUUAAUGAAACUAGUGUCUCUGCAUUAAUAGGAUUUAUUCGGUGUCAGUUAAUAGAAGGGCAAUUACAGGAUGCAGAUCAGCAGCUGGAAUUCUUUAGUGAAAUUCAGCAAUCCAUUGGGAAAUCUGCGGAAUUAACUUAUUUACAUGCAAUUCUUGCUAUGAAGAAAAACAGACAACAAGAAGAAGUUAUAAAUUUGUUAAAUGAGGUCCUGGAUGCUCAUUUUUCGAACUUAGAAGAUUUACCUCUUGGCAUACAGUAUUUUGAGAAGCUAAAUCCUGAUUUCUUGCUAGAAAUUAUUACAGAGUUUCUGAAUUUUUGUCCAAUGCAGCCUGCAAGUCCUGGGCAACCUCUUUCUCCACUUCUCAGACGUUGUACCUCUGUCCUGGAGAUUAUAAUAAGAACUGUACCAGGUCUUCUGCAAGCUGUCUUCCUAGUUGCAAAAGUGAAGUUUUUGUCAGGUGACAUCGAAGCAGCCUAUAACAACCUGCAGCAUUGCUUGGAACACAGUCCUUCUUAUGCAGAUGCUCAUCUCCUGAUGGCUCAGGUUUACCUGUCUCAAGAAAAAUUCAAAUUGUGUUCUCAGUCUCUUGAACUUUGUCUGAGCUAUAAUUUUAAUGUAAGAGACUAUCCUUUAUAUCAUUUAAUAAAAGCUCAGUCACAAAAGAAAAUGGGAGAAAUAGCAGAAGCAAUUAAAACUCUGCAUAUGGCAAUGAGUUUACCAGGAAUGAGGAGAGUAGGAACUUCCUCAAAAUCAAAAUACAGAAAAACUGAAGUUGAUACGAGCCAUCGUUUAUCAAUCUUUCUUGAGUUGGUGGAAGUUCACCAAUUAAAUGGAGAACAGCAUGAGGCAGCAAAGGCUUUACAAGAUGCCAUCCAUGAAUUUUCUGGAACAUCUGAAGAAUUGCGUGUUACUAUUGCUAAUGCAGACCUGGCUCUGACCCAAGGAGAUGUUGAGCGGGCUUUAAGCAUGCUUCAAAAUGUCACAGCUGAGCAGCCUUAUUAUAUAGAAGCCAAAGAAAAAAUGGCUGAUAUUUAUCUGAAGCAUCGAAAGGAAAAAAUGUUAUAUAUAACUUGUUACAGAGAAAUUGCUGAAAGAAUACCCAGCCCCCGGUCUUUUCUUCUCCUUGGUGAUGCAUACAUGAAUAUUCAAGAGCCUGAAGAGGCCAUAGUAGCCUAUGAGCAGGCACUAAAUCAGAACCCAAAAGAUGGAACUUUGGCAAGCAAAAUUGGGAAAGCACUUGUUAAAACUCACAACUAUUCAAAGGCUAUCACUUACUAUGAGGCUGCUCUGAAAAGUGGACAACAGAAUUACCUUUGUUAUGACCUGGCUGAGCUCUUACUAAAAUUGAAAUGGUAUGACAAAGCAGAAAAAGUUCUUCAACAUGCUCUAGCUCAUGAACCUGUAAAUGAACUGUCAGUUCUCAUGGAGGAUGGACGUUGUCAAGUUCUUCUAGCAAAACUUUAUAGUCAGAUGGAAAGACCUGAUGAUGCCAUCACUGCGUUACAACAGGCUCGAGAAUUACAAGCUAGGAUACUAAAACGUGUUCAGAUGGAACAGCCAGAUGCAGUUCCUGCACAGAAACAUUUAGCAGCUGAAAUUUGUGCAGAGAUUGCAAAACAUUCUGUAGCUCAGCGAGACUCUGAAAAAGCAAUUAAGUUUUAUAGAGAAGCUCUGGUUCAUUGUGAAACAGAUAACAAGAUAAUGUUGGAGCUGGCGCGAUUAUACCUAGCCCAAGAUGACCCUGAUGCCUGCAUGAGGCAGUGUGCACUGCUGCUGCAGAAUGACCAGGACAAUGAAGCUGCUACAACGAUGAUGGCUGAUCUCAUGUUCAGAAAACAGGACUAUGAACAAGCAGUGUUUCAUUUACAGCAGCUUGUAGAACGCAAACCAGAUAAUUAUAUGACUUUUUCUCGUUUGAUUGAUCUCCUAAGAAGAUGUGGAAAACUUGAGGAUGUUCCAAGGUUUUUCGUAAUGGCUGAGAAACGUAACUCCAGAGCAAAACUGGAGCCAGGAUUUCAGUACUGUAAAGGACUGUAUCUUUGGUAUACUGGAGAACCAAAUGACGCCCUUCGACAUUUUAAUAAAGCUCGGAAAGAUAGUGAGUGGGGCCAAAAUGCACUGUAUAACAUGAUAGAAAUAUGUUUGAAUCCAGACAAUGAAACUAUUGGAGGUGAAGUAUUCGAAAAUCUGGAUGCAGACCUGGGUAAUUCAACUGAGAAGCAAGAGUCUGUGCAAUUAGCAGUGAGAACAGCAGAAAAACUCCUUAAAGAACUAAAACCUCACACUGUUCAUGGGCACAUACAACUUCGCAUAAUGGAAAACUAUUGCCUAUUGGCUACCAAACAGAAAUCUAAUGUUGAGCAAGCAUUAAAUACCUUCACCAAAAUAGCAGCAUCUGAGUACUACUAAGGAAGGAAUUCUAGACACCUACCCAACCAGCCAUUGGUCGUACCGAGUUCUAUGUGUGUCCAUUGGAUUUCAUGUUUGUUCUUCCACGCAGCAAUGCUUUGCCUACCAAAAACUCAUAAUUUGGUGUCUCUCACAGCAUAAAUGAAAUUUUGAUAUGUUUUCUUCUGGUUCAAAGGUCACAAUGGUUGCUCUAGACUAUCCAAACCCCUACGGUGACCCUUUUUCCCACUUUCAGGACUCUGGAGAAGAUGAUGAUGUCAGGGCUUUGGGACAACUACAACACCUAUUAUGGUUGGGUAUAUCUAGCUGGCAGCUUUAGUGCCACCCUUGGAACCACAACAGCUAGGUAGCAUCAAAAACAGUAAUACCAUAUAGCAGAGCCCUUUUGCAGGCAUCAAAUAGUAUUCUUAAGAGUUGGGCUGUAGCAAAUGGAUGAGUUACUGAAUGAAGGGAAUGGCACCAUCAUGUAAGUCUACAAAAGUCUGUAAGGACGUGAUGAGACACAUUUUCUAGUAAGGUGUCAGAGCUACUGAGUAUUGUGGAAUGGUAUUUUGUCAUAUAAUAAUUUAUUUUGAGGAAGUCCAUUAUUCCUACUGUGAAACUUAAGAGUGAGAGAAAAGCAAAAAGCAGUGAGUGAUAUUACAUCUGUUUCCUAGACAGUCUGUACCAGUUUUCUGAGUUGAUGAGACAGCAUAAAUUUUUUGUCAUCUUUAUACCUAUGAGAUUACAGAUUUACCAUUCUCAAAUCUGUUCACUGACCAUAAUAUCCAAAUAAUAAUGAUGGGUGAUGAACUAAAGUUUCAUAAAUACUUAGGCCUGAUCUCACAUUUUUUUCUUUUAAUUCAUAGGCUGCAUAUAUUUAAUAUACUGAAUAUUCAUCAAGCAGCCAAUGGGUGCUAAGCAUAGUGGGAAUCACACAUUCAAAUAAUGAAUGGUUCCUUUUUUCAAGUUUCUCUUAAAUUACAGAAAAUGAGACAAGCAUACUAACUAUAAUUACUAAAAUACAAAAACAAAUGUAUUGGAUUCUAUCCUAAAGUUGCAAAUAAAAGCACUGUCUGUAGGUGACAGGAGGAGAAUUCAGUGACCCUUUAGUGGAAAAGAUAUGAUUUAAGAAACAGGUAUGAGUUGAAGAAAAACAGCAUUUUCACAGGCACAAAUGGACUGAGUGUCUUCUAAAUGAAGAGGAAAAUAUGAGCAAAAGCAGGAAGGCAGAAAAACAUGAAUGAGGUGUAUUCAGAAUGCUGUGUGUCACUCAGAGAUAUGUCACCGAAAGUCAUGGAGGAAAAGGUGGAAGAUACAUUAAGCCCAAGCUAAGCCAUAUCCACUUGCUUUUAUUGCAUUACCUUGAACCAUAGAAGUAUGUUGGUCAUAAGUGAACUAUGUUGCCUUCACUCAAAUCUUAUCCUCUGAGUUGAUUAAGAAUGGAAGAGGGAAGCUGACUGAAAGUUUUAGGAUGUCUACACCAGAAAAAGACCUCAUGGAGCUGAGUACAAUUCAGUGGUAGAGUACUGCCUAGUACAGGCAAGACCCUGGAUCAAUCCUCAGUGCCAAAGGAGCAGGGAGAGUCAAAUCUUCUAGUCUAAUGCAGGGAUUAGAACUCUGGUUUGCAGUUUAGUCAAACUUUGAAGAACUGGCUCAUUCUAAUCUAACUCAAGCCAGGUGGUUUUGAAAUCAGACACUUACUUUAAUUAUGUUGUAUGGGAUAUUUUUGUGCAUGUGCAUUGAGGCAGGGUCUUUUUGCAGGGCCCUUCUCAGACCAUCCUAGGAACUGGCUGACAAAUACAUAGCAGGUCUCCUCUCCCUCUCUCAGCCUGCUUGGAGUGAGUGGUUUGAAGGUUAAUGAAAUUGACAAUUUUCCUCAUGUCUUCAAAAUCUACUACCAAUUGGUUGGAUUUAGCAUAUUAAACUGUUUUGCCAUUCCUUAUCUGUGUACAAAUUCCAUAUCAGAAGUUUAUUUUUGGACGUGGAAUUACAGCCAAGAAAGUUUUAUAUUCCUAUUGUUUUCAUUAAGCCCUAAUGAAUUGCCCUUUUGUUUGCAAGGGUUAAACUUCCAUUCACCACCAGUGCUUGAUAUUGAAAGUUUUAUCAAUGUAAUCUCAUUUUGCAAUAUUUCUUAUUAUUUACCCAAAUUUGCAGUGUAACAGGGAAUCUUUGGUAUUGUCAUUAUAUUAUGAUUUCUACUUAAUUUGUGAAUUUAAAGUUAAGACCUCCCCCUUUCUAAAAUGUGUUAUAAUCCCUCUGCCAAAAUUUAAGAAGCAUGCUCCUCCUGGAAGCAGUGGCACAGGACUAUAAUCCCAGCGGUUGGGGAGGCUGAAGCAGGAGGAUCACAAAUUCACAGCCAGCCUCAGCAAUCUAGCAAGGCCCUAGAAGGAUAAUCUUCCAGCACUCUUGGGAAUGGCAAUAGCUCAUAUGAUCUUAAAACAGAUUCCAAAAGCUAGAAACCACUUGAAGCGAAUUGCAAAAAUGACAUGGAAUCCUAUUGAUGCUGAGGAUUUUGAGAAGAG